rnacentral:rRNA from 1 species
GGGCCCGCACAAGCAGUGGAGUAUGUGGUUUAAUUCGAAGCAACGCGAAGAACCUUACCAGGUCUUGACAUCCAACUAACGAGGCAGAGAUGCGUUAGGUGCCCUUCGGGGAAAGUUGAGACAGGUGGUGCAUGGUUGUCGUCAGCUCGUGUCGUGAGAUGUUGGGUUAAGUCCCGCAACGAGCGCAACCCUUGUCAUUAGUUGCUACGCAAGAGCACUCUAAUGAGACUGCCGUUGAUAUAACGGAGGAAGGUGGGGACGACGUCAAAUCAUCAUGCCCCUUAUGACCUGGGCUACACACGUACUACAAUGGCCGUAAAAACAGAGGGAAGCAAAGCAGCAAUGUGGAGCAAAAACCCGAAAAACGGUCUCAGUUCAGAUUGCAGGCUGAAACUCGCCUGUAUGAAGUCGGAAUUGCUAGUAAUCGCGGAUCAGCAUGCCG